ACAGCAGCCGCCACGGUAAUACGUAGGGUGCGAGCGUUAAUCGGAAUUACUGGGCGUAAAGCGUGCGCAGGCGGUUUUGUAAGACAGGCGUGAAAUCCCCGGGCUCAACCUGGGAAUGGCGCUUGUGACUGCAAAGCUAGAGUGCGGCAGAGGGGGAUGGAAUUCCGCGUGUAGCAGUGAAAUGCGUAGAUAUGCGGAGGAACACCGAUGGCGAAGGCAAUCCCCUGGGCCUGCACUGACGCUCAUGCACGAAAGCGUGGGGAGCAAACAGGAUUAGAUACCCCAGUAGUCCCUGUCUCUUAUAC
rnacentral:rRNA from 1 species